ensembl:lncRNA
GAUUCAGAGCACGGGGUGAGGAAUGAGCUGGGCAGGUUUGGCUCAGGCUUAGGGGCUGCUCUGGGUGAUGCUGCUGCCAGCUGACUCCUUUCUCCCUGCCUUUUCUCUUCCAGCCCCUGGAAUUCUGGGCAUUUUUCAAAGCCCCGGUGUCCCUGGCCAGGCAGAGCCUGAAGCCAGCACCUGGGUAACAGAUCUGUGCAGCUGGAGGUGUUUGCCAUGCCUGCUCCAUCUGUUCCAAAUGCCACAGGUGUGCUGAUUUACUCCAGGUGAACCGGGAGCAAGAAUCCUUUAGGAGAAAAAACAAAAGUUUCUGGCUGAAUGACAAGUAUUUCUCUCUUUCUCCGUGCUUUGUUUUUAUUUAUCCUCAUCUACAGCUCUAGCCUGAGAUUCACCAUCUCCAGCAACCACAGCAAAGCCCUCCUGAAAUCCAGAUCUGCAUUUGUGACUAACCUGAAAUGUGUAAUAGGAAAGGAAAAAACUCCUUUAUCAAGAAAAUCUUCAGAGAGAAGAACCAUUCCCUCGAAUCAAACAGCCUUUCUUUUGUGUUUGUAUAAAAAUUAUCCUGAUCAAUAUUUAAAUUAUUAAAAUCCAGCGAGCUACACAAUAUGAACACAUACAAUUUUUUCUGCAUCAGAAUCCAGAGUUCAGCUGAUUGUGGCACUUUUUAAUCUCCAGCUUCAAUCCAGAUUCACAUAAAGGAAACACUUAGGUAAUUUUAUUUUGCCAUUAAUUAGUAUCUCUCACUAACUCCUAAGUAGUCUCUCUAUUUUUCUUUUGAAUCCUUGUAGCAAAUUGCAUCAUGUAGGCCUCAGUUACUCAUGUAUUUUUUACCUUUUCCUUUCUGUUUCUGGCUUUUCUUCUCUGUCUUGCCUGGACUGCUAUUCAGAAUUAUGGAAUUCUGGAAAUUCCUCUCUAUCCUUUUGCAUUAUGAUGAAAAAGACACAAGGUGAUUUUCCAUAGAGGUUGCCAAACAGGGCUGCAAUAAUUUCUUCAUUCUUACUUCUUUCUGCCUUUCCCACCACUCCAAGAAGUUCAUAACUCUUAAAGCUUCAGCUUUCCCUUUCCCCAGCUCAUGUUCGUCCUUUGAGCUCCCAAAAGCAACUAAACCCCAAGAUUUAAGAAAACUUUAUAAUUUUAUUUUCAGUCAUCUUCUGAUUUCUAAGAUCUAAAAUCCCUAAGAUUUUUUUGCUGCCAACUGCUUCAAUAUUUUUCACUAAAAACCUCAUCUAAAGGUGACUGGAGCCUUCAAGCCUUGCAGUUGGGGUUUAAAGUGAACUCUGAUUUACCAGCUGAGCCAGCCCCAGCCCCUUCAGCAGCGGAUCCACAGGGUGUGCUUGGGCUCAGGCACACACAAACUCCAGGACAAUUAAACAUUUAUUUAUAGCUGGAGUUGAGUGUAUGAGUAAGUCACACGUGCUCAGGAACUGCAGUGCUUUGUUGACCAUAACAUUCCCCAGGAAGAUUUAGAAAGGAGUGAGGUGCCAACCUCACUUUUGCAGCAGUUGCCUCUCCUGUUUCUGCUGGGAGAAGCACAGCCUUUAAACCUGAUUUAUCACAAAUAUUUACCUAUCUUUCCUCUCCUCUUUUCUCCCCGUGAUAUUUAAGCAAGAAGCUUUAUUUGAACAAGAGCUCUUUAACCUCAUCACAGGGAGGGUUUUUUUUUAUUCUCAUUUCAAAGUUGUGAUUAAUUAAUACAAAUAUUAAUCCUGCUGCCCCUGCCUGGAGAGGAGAUGACAGUUUGCCUUUUGGAGAGGAGAGAGCAGAGCUGGGGCUGCUGAGGGUGGAGGAGGGAAGGCUGGGGUGUGGUCAGGUUGUAAAUCACAGAAAGGAGGGUGCAAAGGUGACAGAGCCAGGCUCGUCCUGGUGGUGCUCCAGGACAGGAGUCAGUGAGCAAAACCUGAAACCUGGAAACACAAAUUUACUGUGAGGGUGACCAAAGCCACAUUUACUGUGAGGGUGACCAAACCAGCUGCCCAGGGAGCUUCUGGAGUCUCCAUUCCUGAAAUUAUUCACAAGGUGUUUGGACACAGUCACAGAAUUAUGGAAUAUUUUGGGUUGGCAAGCACCUUAAACAUCAUCCCAUUGCAGCCCCACUGCCCUGGGCACUCACUUGACUCAGUUUCCAUAAGUCCCACCCAAGCUGACCUUGGCAGCUGGCUCUGGGUGCUCCUGCUCGAGCAGAAGGGUUGGAUCAGAUGAUCUGGGGAGGUUCCUUCCAACCUGAACCAUCCUGAGAUUCUGGGAAUGUGUCCAUGAAUCCACAGCCUCAGCGUGAAGCACAUCAGACAUGAAACGUGAAGAGUCCAGUGCCUCUGAGGCCACCCUGAAAUGAAAAUGAACUGCCAGGAGCAGUAAAAAAAAAUAAAAGAAGUCAGAUUAGAUUAGGUUCCCCA